UACAGAGGUCUCAAGCGUUGUUCGGAUUCAUUGGGCGUAAAGGGUGCGUAGGCGGCGGGGUAAGUCGGAUGUGAAAUCUCAGGGCUCAACCCUGAAACUGCAUUCGAUACUGCCUUGCUCGAGGACUCGAGAGGAGAUUGGAAUUCACGGUGUAGCAGUGAAAUGCGUAGAUAUCGUGAGGAAGACCAGUGGCGAAGGCGGAUCUCUGGAGAGUUCCUGACGCUGAGGCACGAAGGCCAGGGGAGCAAACAGG
rnacentral:rRNA from 1 species